GUGUUCACUUUGGCAGCACAUAUACUAAAAUUGGAAUGAUGCAGAGAAUAUUAGCAUGACUCCUGUGCAGGAAUGACAUGCAAAUUUGUGAAGCAUUCCAUACUAUA
ensembl:snRNA U6 U6 spliceosomal RNA